GACGAACGCUGGCGGCGUGCUUAACACAUGCAAGUCGAACGGAAAGGCCCUGCUUUUGUGGGGUGCUCGAGUGGCGAACGGGUGAGUAACACGUGAGUAACCUGCCCUUGUCUUUGGGAUAACUUCAGGAAACUGGGGCUAAUACCGGAUAGGAGCUCCCGCUGCAUGGUGGGGGUUGGAAAUUUUCGGCGGUUGGGGUUGGUCUCGCGGCUUAUCAGCUUGUUGGUGGGGUAGUGGCUUACCAAGGCUUUGACGGGUAGCCGGCCUGAGAGGGUGACCGGCCACAUUGGGCCUGAGGUACGGCCCAGACUCCUACGGGAGGCAGCAGUGGGGAAUAUUGCACAAUGGGCGGAAGCCUGAUGCAGCAGCGCCGGGUUCGGGAUGACGGCCUUCGGGUUGUGAACCGCUUUCGCCUGUGACGAAGCGUGAGUGACGGUAAUGGGUAAAGAAGCACCGGCUAACUACGUG
rnacentral:rRNA from 1 species